rnacentral:rRNA from 1 species
CCUACGGGCGGCACCAGUGGGGAAUAUUGCACAAUGGGCGCAAGCCUGAUGCAGCCAUGCCGCGUGUAUGAAGAAGGCCCUCGGGUUGUAAAGUACUUUCAGCGAGGAGGAAGGCGUUAAGGUUAAUAACCUUGGCGAUUGACGUUUCUCGCAGAAGAGGCACCGGCUAACUCCGUGCCAGCAGCCGCGGUAAUACGGAGGGUGCAAGCGUUAAUCGGAAUUACUGGGCGUAAAGCGCACGCAGGCGGUCUGUCAAGUCGGAUGUGAAAUCCCCGGGCUCAACCUGGGAACUGCAUUCGAAACUGGCAGGCUAGAGUCUUGUAGAGGGGGGUAGAAUUCCAGGUGUAGCGGUGAAAUGCGUAGAGAUCUGGAGGAAUACCGGUGGCGAAGGCGGCCCCCUGGACAAAGACUGACGCUCAGGUGCGAAAGCGUGGGGAGCAAACAGGAUUAGAUACCCUUGUAGUC